GCUAAAGACGAUGGGCCGGUUCCGCCUUAGAUUGCAGUUCUGGACUGGAAACCGCUAUCGCAUGGAGAAGACAGGAGGUGGCGGUGGCAGCGAUUUGGGUGUUCUCGUGGUGGUGCGCUCAGGCAGAAGGAGAGCCAUGCCAAUUUUAGUAGCCAUGAUCUAAUGAGGAAAAGAGAGAAGGAGAAUAUGAGGGUAAUUCUUUUUGAAGAAGAAGAAGACCAAGGUUUGUGGAAGAAGAGAAGAAAGAACAAUCUGGGGAGUUCCCUAAAUAAGAAGACCAAGG